CCUACGGGCGGCAGCCGUGAGGAAUAUUGGUCAAUGUGCGGGAGCCUGAACCAGCCAAGUCGCGUGAGGGAAGACGGUCCUAUGGAUUGUAAACCUCUUUAGGCGGGGAGCAAUGCCGGGCACGUGUGCCCGGAGGGAGAGUACCCGCAGAAUAAGCAUCGGCUAACUCCGUGCCAGUAGCCGCGGUAAUACGGAGGAUGCGAGCUGUAUCCGGAUUUAUUGGGGUUAAAGGGUGAGUAGGCGGAUUUUUAAGUCAGCGGUAAAAGGUCCGGGCUCAACCCGGGCCGGCCGUUGAAACGGGGGAUCUUGAGUGGGCGAGAAGUAUGCGGAAUGCGUGGUGUAGCGGUGAAAUGCAUAGAUAUCACGCAGAACUCCGAUUGCGAAGGCAGCAUACCGGCGCCCGACUGACGCUGAGGCACGAAAGCGUGGGGAUCGAACAGGAUUAGAUACCCGGGUAGUC
rnacentral:rRNA from 1 species